AACGCAUAUUGCGCCUUCUGGUAUUCCGGAAGGCAUGCUUGUUUGAGUAUCAGUAACAACCUCAGCCCCCAUUCUCUUCACUUCGAGGAGAAAGGGGUUGGAUUUGAGCAAAUCCACCCUACUUUUUAGUGGGGGGCGGAUGCUUGAAAUAGAGGUUCGGCCGGACGGUUAAUUCCCUGGGCUACAAGCAUUUCAUACUUAAUCCCGUUAAACGGAUUAUUUCCUUUGCUGCAGCCAACUAACAGGAAUCGUCAGGGUCUGACUGAUGCAGGAAAGUUGGGACGGAUUUCGGUCCGCGCUCUUCUAAACUCGAUCUCAAAUCAAGUAAGACUACCCGCUGAACUUAA
rnacentral:misc_RNA from 1 species